rnacentral:tRNA from 1 species
AGGUUAUUUAAUAUUUAGUCUUGAAAACUAGAAUACUCAUCUUAAUGAGAUGGCCUU